rnacentral:rRNA from 1 species
AUUGAACGCUGGCAGCAUGCUUUACACAUGCAAGUCGAACGGUAACAGGGAGCUUGCACCGCUGACGAGUGGCGAACGGGUGAGUAAUGCGUCGGAACGUGCCGAGUAGUGGGGGAUAACGCAGCGAAAGUUGUGCUAAUACCACAUACGUACUGAGGUAGAAAGUGGGGGACCUUCGGGCCUCACGCUAUUCGAGCGGCCGACGUCUGAUUAGCUAGUAGGUGAGGUAAAGGCUCACCUAGGCGACGAUCAGUAGCGGGUCUGAGAGGAUGAUCCGCCACACUGGGACUGAGACACGGCCCAGACUCCUACGGGAGGCAGCAGUGGGGAAUUUUGGACAAUGGGCGAAAGCCUGAUCCAGCCAUGCCGCGUGUCUGAAGAAGGCCUUCGGGUUGUAAAGGACUUUUGUCGGGGAGGAAAUCCCCAGCGUUAAUACCGCUGGGGGAUGACAGUACCUGAAGAAUAAGCACCGGCUAACUACGUGCCAGCAGCCGCUGUAAGAC